UCCUACGGGAGGCAGCAGUGAGGAAUAUUGGUCAAUGGACGCAAGUCUGAACCAGCCAUGCCGCGUGCAGGAUGAAGGCCUUCUGGGUUGUAAACUGCUUUUAUCAGGGAAGAAACCACAGAUUUCUAUUUGUGCCGACGGUACCUGAGGAAUAAGCACCGGCUAACUCCGUGCCAGCAGCCGCGGUAAUACGGAGGGUGCAAGCGUUAUCCGGAUUCACUGGGUUUAAAGGGUGUGUAGGCGGGCAUGUAAGUCCGAGGUGAAAUCUCCGAGCUCAACUUGGAAACUGCCUUGGAUACUAUAUGUCUUGAAUAUCGUUGAGGUAGGCGGAAUAUGUCAUGUAGCGGUGAAAUGCUUAGAUAUGACAUAGAACACCGAUUGCGAAGGCAGCUUGCUAAACGAUUAUUGACGCUGAGGCACGAAAGCGUGGGGAUCAAACAGGAUUAGAUACCCUGGUAGUCCACGCCCUAAACGAUGAUUACUCGACAUACGCGAUAUACAGUACGCGUCUUAGCGAAAGUGAUAAGUAAUCCACCUGGGGAGUACGCUCGCAAGAGUGAAACUCAAAGGAAUUGACGGA
rnacentral:rRNA from 1 species